rnacentral:rRNA from 1 species
GAGCGCAACCCUUGUCUCUAGUUGCUACGAAAGGGCACUCUAGAGAGACUGCCGGUGACAAACCGGAGGAAGGUGGGGAUGACGUCAAGUCCCCAUGGCCCUUAUGGGUAGGGCUUCACACGUCAUACAAUGGUGCGUACAGAGGGUUGCCAACCCGCGAGGGGGAGCUAAUCCCAGAAAACGCAUCGUAGUCCGGAUCGUAGUCUGCAACUCGACUACGUGAAGCUGGAAUCGCUAGUAAUCGCGGAUCAGCAUGCCGCGGUGAAUACGUUCCCGGGUCUUGUACACACCGCCCGUCACACCAUGGGAGUGGGUUUUGCCAGAAGUAGUUAGCCUAACCGCAAGGAGGGCGAUUACCACGGCAGGGUUCA